AAUGAAAGAGCGUCACAGUAAAAUUUAUAACCUCCUUUCGAACAUUUAUUUAUUAUAAGUUUCCGCAAAGUAUUAACAUUUAAAUCGUACGAUUUAAUAUUGUUCAAGAAAUUUCUAAACUUAUUAUUUGUUAUUGCAACUGUGAUAAAUAAUAGAAUAUGGGAAGCUGGCAGUUAGAAAUUUUUAAAAUGUCAUUAUACAUGGCCUUUCCCGUAAUAAUGUUUCAUUAUUUUAAUCAACCAGAAAAUUUCGAAGAAUGGGUGAUAAAAGAAAGAAAUGAAUAUUAUCCUAAAGACGACAAGGAACAACGUAGGAUUAUAGAAGAAUCUAUCAGAAAUCAUAAUGAAAAAAUAGAACGAAAACAAUUGGAACUUAUGGAACGUACACUUAACAAGAAUAUUUCAUAAAAUAAGAAUUAUUGUAUAAUAUAUGUUUAGUUUCUUAAAUAUAUGUGUGUGUAUACGUGUAUAUAUAUAUAAAUAUAUCCGUAUAUAUUUUGUUAAAUAUCAA